rnacentral:lncRNA from 1 species
CAACAACCAAUCAGCAUUCAUUCGCUUCGUUGCUGUCUAGGAAAUCACGAAAAAAUUUCGUAUUCGUCUAUAAGGUAACAUUCAUCGUUAACAAUUAAGCUGUUUUCUUCGACUACUUCAAUAGCAGCUGACAUUUACUUUUCACUGCGAUUCAUCUUUGACAUGUGGAGAACAGUUAAUCGUUUUAGGUUCGAAGAAGAUGGAAGAAAAAACGAAAGAGGAUAUCCUGUUUUCUAAAUAAAGGAUUAAAGAAAAAAAGAAGAAACCUUUUUUUUAAGGAGUUUCAGCCGAGGAACACACGAGCUUAGACAAUUAGUCCAUAAUUAACUCGGAGACAGACGUGUUUGGGAGCACGCGUGCACCAUAAAACCCUAUCAACCCUUUCUAAUACAGUUAACGUUUAUGAGGGUAUGCAUAAAGCAAAAAUAACCAGACACCAGAUCACCCAAACUUUCCCCUUCUCUUAUUCAUUUUUAUGAAUGCAGACACGCAUAUAUUUUCUAUCCUCGAAUUCAUCUGUCUAAUAAAAGUGAAUAAUUCUAA